GUGCUCGCUUUGGCAGCACAUAUAUUAAAAUUGGAACGAUACAGACAAGAUUAGCAUGGCCCCUGCCCAAGGAUGACAUGCAAGUUCGUGAAGCAUUCCAUAUUUAA
ensembl:snRNA U6 U6 spliceosomal RNA